CGAUUCCCUUUAGGUCUAAAGGGGUCGCGAAAAUCGAGUGGGUGGAUAAACGCGCGGCAUUGUGCUCGCCUCAUCGACUGACCGAUAUUUGGCCAGAGUCACUCUGAAAGUAUGGAUUAACGAUCCGUAGGGUGGACCGAAGGGUAGACCAGAGGAGAUUACCAAGCGAAGACUAAGCGUGAUGCAGGUGGUCGAAGGGGAACUCGCCGGAAAGAAAGGACAGAGAUGAUGGUUCCACUUCAGAAACGAACGAAAGCCUCCAACGGUAUAGUGAAUGGAGUGGAACACCCGAUAUGUCAUAAGGAUAAAGGCAUCAAAGGAAAUCAAAGUGCAGGUAUUACGCCAUAAAUCGGCUAUGAGAUGUUUGAAGGAACGAUUGUUUCGGAUCGAUUCUUCUUCAGGACUUCGAGUGUCGAAAUGAAACUCUUGAUGUCUGAUCGAUUCUACCAUGAAGCAUCAGCUCGUCGCUCCUUUCAAACUACUCCACAAUAGCAUAAUAGAAGCUAUUCAUGUUGAAAAGUCCGUUUGCGAUUCUUACAUUCUCAAAUCCUUAAUUUUACCUUAAGUCCUUCCUCUCUCGGAUUUGAAUAUUUUGUACGUACUCGAUUACUCUUUCGUCAAUUUCUCCUUUUACACAUGCAUCAAACAACAUCAAUAAUGCUUCUAACUUAUAAAAGGAAAACAGAAAAGGCAUACUUCUUUUAUGUAAAUCGUUUAGCAAAUCGAAAGAAAUGAAAAUUGUAUUUUAUGUUGUAAAAAUUAAAAAUGGAUUGAAUAAGUUAUAAGAUAAUAAACCGGAAGAAAGACUCAGGACAAUUACAAUAAAAAUUAAGACAGAGAGAA